rnacentral:sRNA from 12 species
AUGCGUGUAAGACCUGCCCGAAGCAAUGAAGGCCGAGGAGUCGGUACGGGAGUGUGUAGGGCAGGCUCGCAA